rnacentral:rRNA from 1 species
GUGUUGUCAAGUUGUUAAGGGCACACGGUGGAUGCCUGGGCACCAGGAGCCGAUGAAGGACGUAGGAGGCUGCGAUAAGCCUCGGGGAGCUGUCAACCGAGCGUUGAUCCGAGGAUUUCCGAAUGGGGGAACCCCGCACCAGUCAUGUGGUGUGACCCGCGCCUGAACACAUAGGGCGUGUGGAGGGAACGUGGGGAAGUGAAACAUCUCAGUACCCACAGGAAGAGAAAACAACCGUGAUUCCGUGAGUAGUGGCGAGCGAAAGCGGAUGAGGCUAAACCGUUUCCAUGUCAAGCCGGCAGGCGUUGUGGAGGCGGGGUCGUGGGACGAUUCAGUCAUCUCUGCCGAGGUGACAGGGAGUCAGAAAGCCAUGUGUUAGUGGAAGGCCUCUGGAAGGGGUCGCCGUAGAGGGUGAGAGCCCCGUACACGAAAACAUGUGGCCUCCCGAGUUGUAUCCCAAGUAGCACCGAGCCCGUGAAAUUCGGUGUGAAUCUGGCGGGACCACCCGCUAAGCCUAAAUACUCCCUGGUGACCGAUAGCGGACAAGUACCGUGAGGGAAAGGUGAAAAGUACCCCGGGAGGGGAGUGAAAUAGUACCUGAAACCGUGUGCCUACAAGCCGUGAGAGCCUUAUGCGCACUUGUGCGUGGGGGUGAUUGCGUGCCUUUUGAAGAAUGAGCCUGCGAGUUAGCGGUACGUGGCGAGGUUAACCCGU